UACGUAGGGUGCAAGCGUUGUCCGGAAUUAUUGGGCGUAAAGAGCUCGUAGGCGGUCUGUCGCGUCGGCUGUGAAAACCCGAGGCUCAACCUCGGGCCUGCAGUCGAUACGGGCAAACUAGAGUACUGCAGGGGAGACUGGAAUUCCUGGUGUAGCGGUGAAAUGCGCAGAUAUCAGGAGGAACACCGGUGGCGAAGGCAGCAUACUGGCCGGCAUCUGACGCUGAGGCGCGAAAGCGUGGGUAGCAAACAGG
rnacentral:rRNA from 1 species